rnacentral:rRNA from 1 species
GACGAGGGAUCCUAGCGUUGUUCGGAAUCAUUGGGCGUAAAGCGUAGGUAGGCGGCUAUUUAAGUCAGGCGUGAAAGCCCCGGGCUCAACCCGGGAAGUGCAUUUGAUACUGGAUAGCUUGAGUAUGGGAGAGGAUAGUGGAAUUCCUGGUGUAGUGGUGAAAUACGUAGAUAUCAGGAGGAACACCGGUGGCGAAGGCGGCUAUCUGGCCCCUAUACUGACGUGAGCUACGAAAGCGUGGGGAUCAAACAGG